AAUCAACGCUGGCGGCGUGCCUAAUACAUGCAAGUCGUGGGGCAGCAUGAAUGUAGCAAUACAUUUGAUGGCGACCGGCAAACGGGUGCGGAACACGUACACAACCUUCCUAUAAGUGGGGAAUAGCCCAGGGAAAUUUGGAUUAAUACCCCGUAACAUAAUGAUGUGGCAUCACAUUAUUAUUAUAGCUUCGGCGCUUAUUGAUGGGUGUGCGGCUGAUUAGAUAGUUGGCGGGGUAACGGCCCACCAAGUCUACGAUCAGUAGCUGAUGUGAGAGCAUGAUCAGCCACACGGGCACUGAGACACGGGCCCGACUCCUACGGGAGGCAGCAGUAAGGAAUAUUGGUCAAUGGACGCAAGUCUGAACCAGCCAUGCCGCGUGAAGGAUUAAGGUCCUCUGGAUUGUAAACUUCUUUUAUCUGGGACGAAAAAAGGCGAUUCUUCGUCACUUGACGGUACCAGAUGAAUAAGCACCGGCUAACUCCGUGCCAGCCGCCGCGGUAAGAC
rnacentral:rRNA from 1 species